rnacentral:lncRNA from 1 species
CGGGGCUCUGCCUUUGAGGAAGGCUCCUCUCAAGCCGAUCGGUCUUCACAUACCACUAAAGGUGACCCACCCACAACAACUCCUUUAUCUUGUCAUGAAGGAUUGAGCACUCCUCUGUGUUAUGCCAUAGGUUUUGGUGAUACCGAUAGUGCUUUUUAUUGUAUGUGUUCUUAGGGGUCGACUUCUUCUUGAUCGGGCGGAGGAGGUCUGCAUUCAAUGCCUCCUCUAGGAUGCUCGCCCUUAGUACGUUCAAGGGCGUAUACUGAUGGCACGUCGACCCUCAAGGGAGAUCCUUACGGUAGGAGUUGUUCCCUUUGUCACUAUUACCCAUCGACAUCUUACCUCCUUCUUCUCGCCGCUAGCUACUACGACCUCUUAUUGUUGCUUCUUUCGAAAGAUGAGCAUAUUCUCAAUGCGCAUGAACUUAGUUGGUCGCUCCAACAGCUCGUCCAU